rnacentral:rRNA from 1 species
AAGUCUAAAACGACUCUCGGCAACGGAUAUCUCGGCUCUCGCAUCGAUGAAGAACGUAGACAAAUGCGAUACUUGGUGUGAAUUGCAGAAUCCCGUGAACCAUCGAGUCUUUGAACGCAAGUUGCGCCUUAAGCCUUCUGGCCGAGGGCACGUCUGCCUGGGUGUCACA